UCUCUCCCUUCCUCUCACCUGUUUGGCUGUCUGAAAACUGAAUGUAGGAACGAUACAAGGAAGACAAAUUUUGAGUGAAGAAUGCACUUGGGAUUGUCAAUAAUUCAAGAUCCCUGAUAUGCAAGGAGCUAUGAUUGAGCAGAGUGACAGAUCAAGAAGAAAUAUUCUAUGAUUGGAAUCAACAGGGAAAAGCUAAAACAAACCACUAGCUAUUUAUGAUAUUGCCCAGAGUUGAAGAAAGGGAUUUGAUGUGGUUGUGGUUCAAGAUUCAUGUGAAGUGUUGUUAACACAGACAGAGUGACAGAGCAAAAGGAUAAGGGGAAAAAAUGACAUUUGGCAAGAGGACCGCAGCUGCAGCACAUGAAUGGAGAAAAGCCCAGAAAUAAACAAAUAAGUGAAGGCUUUGCCAUUCAACAAUACAGGUUAAAAACAUCCCCACUUUCACAAGUUAGAUCUCUAUAUUUUCUUAGAAAAAAAAAAUAUAUAUGUGUUUUGUACUUAUAAAGAAAAAAAAUAAAGAAUACGUUCUUUGUGGGGCAUGGCGGUUUUUUUUUUUUUUUUUCUGUGAAAAAGAAUUUUACAAAUAAAAUAUGGACAAGGAAUUUCACAUUUUCAUAUUUUGUUUAUACUGUAAACAGAGUUAACUAGUACGGGAACAAAACUAUGUAUGAAGAUAAACGUUCAAGUGUAAAAAAGAUUAUGAUUUGUGGUAGAUAAAAGGAAAGAAAUAAU